GAUGAACGCUGGCGGCGUGCCUAAUACAUGCAAGUCGAGCGAACGGACGAGAAGCUUGCUUCUCUGAUGUUAGCGGCGGACGGGUGAGUAACACGUGGAUAACCUACCUAUAAGACUGGGAUAACUUCGGGAAACCGGAGCUAAUACCGGAUGAUAUUUUGAACCGCAUGGUUCAAAAGUGAAAGACGGUCUUGCUGUCACUUAUAGAUGGAUCCGCGCUGCAUUAGCUAGUUGGUAAGGUAACGGCUUACCAAGGCAACGAUGCAUAGCCGACCUGAGAGGGUGAUCGGCCACACUGGAACUGAGACACGGUCCAGACUCCUACGGGAGGCAGCAGUAGGGAAUCUUCCGCAAUGGGCGAAAGCCUGACGGAGCAACGCCGCGUGAGUGAUGAAGGUCUUCGGAUCGUAAAACUCUGUUAUUAGGGAAGAACAUAUGUGUAAGUAACUGUGCACAUCUUGACGGUACCUAGUCAGAAAGCCACGGCUAACUACGUGCCAGCAGCCGCGGUAAUACGUAGGUGGCAAGCGUUAUCCGGAAUUAUUGGGCGUAAAGCGCGCGUAGGCGGCUUUUUAAGUCUGAUGUGAAAGCCCACGGCUCAACCGUGGAGGGUCAUUGGAAACUGGAAAACUUGAGUGCAGAAGAGGAAAGUGGAAUUCCAUGUGUAGCGGUGAAAUGCGCAGAGAUAUGGAGGAACACCAGUGGCGAAGGCGACUUUCUGGUCUGUAACUGACGCUGAUGUGCGAAAGCGUGGGGAUCAAACAGGAUUAGAUACCCUGGUAGUCCACGCCGUAAACGAUGAGUGCUAAGUGUUAGGGGGUUUCCGCCCCUUAGUGCUGCAGCUAACGCAUUAAGCACUCCGCCUGGGGAGUACGACCGCAAGGUUGAAACUCAAAGGAAUUGACGGGGACCCGCACAAGCGGUGGAGCAUGUGGUUUAAUUCGAAGCAACGCGAAGAACCUUACCAAAUCUUGACAUCCUUUGACAACUCUAGAGAUAGAGCCUUCCCCUUCGGGGGACAAAGUGACAGGUGGUGCAUGGUUGUCGUCAGCUCGUGUCGUGAGAUGUUGGGUUAAGUCCCGCAACGAGCGCAACCCUUAAGCUUAGUUGCCAUCAUUAAGUUGGGCACUCUAAGUUGACUGCCGGUGACAAACCGGAGGAAGGUGGGGAUGACGUCAAAUCAUCAUGCCCCUUAUGAUUUGGGCUACACACGUGCUACAAUGGACAAUACAAUGGGCAGCGAAACCGCGAGGUCAAGCAAAUCCCAUAAAGUUGUUCUCAGUUCGGAUUGUAGUCUGCAACUCGACUACAUGAAGCUGGAAUCGCUAGUAAUCGUAGAUCAGCAUGCUACGGUGAAUACGUUCCCGGGUCU
rnacentral:rRNA from 1 species